CAGAGAGAGAUGCAUGCAAGGAGAGAGAGAUGCGCAUGUAGAGAGAUGGAGAGAGAGGACUACGUGGGCACGAGAAUAAAUGCCUGCAAGCCAAUCGUUCGCAUGCGCAUGCAGAGAGUAUUUAACUACCCAGCCUCCCUUCCGUAUCAAACCAGGGGCAAAACAGUCCGAUUUUUGCUGCUUUCUCCUCUCCUUGGUAUGCGGGUUGAGCAUAGAACGCAAAGAAAAAAGGAUCGGAGGGAGUACAGUAUAUAUCUCCAAGGCCCUGAUUAUUUUCUUUACCAAUCUUUAGUAUUCUCAUGUUUCAGGUUUUGUUCAGGGCUAACAUACAUUCUUUUAGGCUAAUUACUAAAUCAAUCUAACGAUGGUUCAUGUGGCAGCAGAGGUGUAGCAACAGCAGUUUGAAGCAGAUUAGGCGCCCGCGGGCGUCAAUGACGGCGAGGCUGUUGAGUGAAGGAAAUGGCGGUGUGGCGAUUUGUGUCCUAUUCUCCAUCUUUUAAGCUCAUAACAGAAGAAAGAACGAUAGAAUCGACUUUAUCACUAUUGUUUUUUAAGAAUAAAAACCUUUCUUGUACGCAUGUAUUGAUGAGUACUCCUCUUGACUCGAUUGUGUUGUAGGGAAUGAAACCAUCUAGUUGGGGUGGUCUGCAGCUCUGGUCGCCUCCAGCAGCACCACAUAAUAAAAGUUCCAAACAGUAGUGUUGCAUUGCUGCCUCCAGCCAACCACAACAUAAUCAUUGGAUGUGUUUCUUAUGUAGAAGAUUUGAGUGAUGUACAUGUUUAUUUCAGAAAAUAUUUCUUAAUGAAAGUUUAUUAUAAGACAUAUAUUCCUCUACAUUAGCUUUAGUUUUUUUUGCUAACUAGAAAGUGUGGUUUCCUUUCUUUACACGAACUCACUAAAGCACGGGAUCCAUUUGGGGUUCCUAGAUUGCUAAUUUUAGGAGCACACAAGAUUUAGACUCCUGCUAUGUAAUUAAAGGAAAUCACAAUAUUGAGCAAUAUCCUCUGUAUAUUUACUAACCACGGAUCCCUGACUUUCAAAUAUAAAUUAUAAUUUCAAAAGUUUAUUUAUAGGAAUGAUAAAUAGUAUGUAUAAAUGCCUUUAUGAGAAUAAAUUUAUUUCAGCCACAUGGAAGCCAACACAGCAUCACAUGCAAUAUUUCUCAAUUAGUUAAAAGUAUGCUUCCUCUAAAAUUUAUGUUUUUUUAUUUUCUUCUUACAUAAAAAUGUCCUAGUUAUACAUGGCAAACUAAAAUUGUCUUGCAGACGCACUGGUUGAUGACUAGUCUAACUAGCUCGGUGAUAAAGAGUAAGAUGUAAAGUUGCCAAGAUAGUAACUAGGACACAUAGAACAGGACGAAUAUAGAUUCUCUUCUUUUAUUAAGUAGGAAUGGAACUUGAUGAAGCUUUACUUGUGUUGUGCUUUUCUAGAGAUGCAUGAGACACCUGUAACCUUUUCUCCUUGGCUUUGCAGCUGCACGCACCAACUUGUUGUAGGGGGACACCAUGGAAGGUGUACAAAAUUAGCAAUGGAUCUCUAGGCUGGUGAUGACCAAGUAAAUUCGUUUCAGUGGAUUUGGGGCUGUACGUUCAUUCCAAAGCGUGAUUGAAAAGAUAUAUGGAUGAUUAUAUGGGUGUAUAACAAGUAUACUGCAAUGAUGAUGAUGAUGAUCAUCCUCAUCAUGAUGAUGCUGAUGAUAUUCUGGUUCAUGACGAUGGAUGCUUUCAAUUUUAGUUAAGUUGUGGGAUGUUCAUGUUGGACGAUGUUCCUCAGUUAGUUUUAAUUAAGUUGUAGGGAUGUUGAUGGAUGAUUUUAGUUUAGAUUUUGCUGUCGAGAAAAUAUUAGAUUAUGCAUCACAUUUGGAUGAUGUUCCUCCUGUAAUAUCCAUUGUUGUAAUCCAACAGUUUUAUCCAAUAUAUGAUUUCUU